GACGUAGGGCGCGAGCGUUGUCCGGAUUUAUUGGGCGUAAAGAGCUCGUAGGCGGCUUGUCGCGUCGAAUGUGAAAACUCGGGCUCAACUCCGAGCUUGCAUUCGAUACGGGCAGGCUAGAGUUCGGUAGGGGAGAUUGGAAUUCCUGGUGUAGCGGUGGAAUGCGCAGAUAUCAGGAGGAACACCAAUGGCGAAGGCAGAUCUCUGGGCCGUAACUGACGCUGAGGAGCGAAAGCGUGGGGAGCAAACAGG
rnacentral:rRNA from 1 species